GUUCUUAUAGUCUAAUGGUAAGACAUUGUUUUUUCACAACAAAAUCAUAGGUUCAAAUCCUAUUAAGAAUA
rnacentral:tRNA from 1 species